UAGGGAAUCUUCCGCAAUGGACGAAAGUCUGAUGGAGCAACGCCGCGUGAGCGAUGAAGGCCUUCGGGUCGUAAAGCUCUGUUGUUAGGGAAGAACAAGUAUCGGAGUAACUGCCGGUACCUUGACGGUACCUAACCAGAAAGCCACGGCUAACUACGUG
rnacentral:rRNA from 1 species